rnacentral:rRNA from 1 species
CCUACGGGUGGCAGCAGUGGGGAAUAUUGGGCAAUGGGCGCAAGCCUGAACCAGCAAAGCCGCGUGAAGGAAGAAGGCUUUCGGGUUGUAAAAUUCUUUUGACAGGGAAGAGUAGAAGACGGUACGUGUCGAAUAAGCCACGGCUAACUACGUGCGAGCAGCCGGGGUAAUAGGUAGGGGGCAAGCGUUGUCCGGAUUUACUGGGUGUAAAGGGCGUGUAGCCGGGUUGACAAGUCAGAUGUGAAAUCCUGAGGCUUAACCGCAGAACUGCAUUUGAAACUGUUGAUCUUGAGUACUGGAGAGGCAGGCGGAAUUCCUAGUGUAGCGGUGAAAUGCGUAGAUAUUAGGAGGAACACCAGUGGCGAAGGCGGUCUGCUGGACAGCAACUGACGGUGAGGCGCGAAAGCGUGGGGAGCAAACAGGAUUAGAUACCCGAGUAGUC